rnacentral:rRNA from 1 species
GACGAACGCUGGCGGCGUGCCUAAUACAUGCAAGUAGAACGCUGAAGGAGGAGCUUACUUCUCUGGAUGAGUUGCGAACGGGUGAGUAACGCGUAGGUAACCUGCCUGGUAGCGGGGGAUAACUAUUGGAAACGAUAGCUAAUACCGCAUAAGAGUAGAUGUUGCAUGACAUUUACUUAAAAGGUGCAAUUGCACCACUACCAGAUGGACCUGCGUUGUAUUAGCUAGUUGGUGGGGUAACGGCUUACCAAGGCGACGAUACAUAGCCGACCUGAGAGGGUGAUCGGCCACACUGGGACUGAGACACGGCCCAGACUCCUACGGGAGGCGGCAGUAGGGAAUCUUCGGCAAUGGACGGAAGUCUAACCGAGCAACGCCGCGUGAGUGAAGAAGGUUUUCGGAUCGUAAAGCUCUGUUGUAAGAGAAGAACGAGUGUGAGAGUGGAAAGUUCACACUGUGACGGUAUCUUACCAGAAAGGGACGGCUAACUACGUGCCAGCAGCCGCGGUAA